AGUCAGGUGCACUUCAUUAUUAAUUGGCAUUCAGGUAGUGCUGUCGGUGAUCAGUUGUAAAGCUUUUCCUGAAUGUGUGUGUUGGUGCCCUUGCUUUUUCUUUCUUAAGUUCAGCCAGGACCUUUUGCUUUCUCCAUGUGGUUUCUCCAUCAACAAGGCUGCGAAACAGCCAUGUAUCCAGCAGCACUUUCUCUGGGAGGCUUUGAUUGAAUGCUGGAAGCGGGCCUGGACUCGGUGAUAUGACACGGUGAAGACCGCUGCCCGCGUGCGCCAUGGCGCCUCUCGCGUUCUGGUGGA